AUGACUUGGGCUCCACUAUUGCUCAUCUUCCUCCAUCACUUAAUAGGAUCAUGUGCCCAGGUUGUGCUAACUCAGCCAAACUCUGUGUCAGAGUCUCUAGGGAGAACAGUCACCAUCUCCUGCAAGCGCAGCAGUGGCAACAUUUUGGGCUACGAUGUGAGCUGGUACCAGCAGCACUUUGGAAGCUCGCCCCAAACUGUGAUCUAUGAACACAAUAAAAGACCAUCUGGGGUUCCUGAUAGGUUCUCUGGCUCCAUUGACCGAUCCUCUUCCAACUCAGCCUCCCUGACCAUCACUGAUCUACAGACGGAAGAUGAGGCUGACUACUUCUGUUUGUCUUAUGAUAGUAACUAUCAGCACAGUGAUGAGAAUCAUGGGGAAGUAAGACAAAAUCUCUGCAGAGAACCAGCUGUGAAAUAA